rnacentral:rRNA from 1 species
UACGAACCGUCCAAACGUUAUUCGGAAUCACUGGGCUUAAAGGGUGCGUAGGCGGUUUCUUAAGUCUGAUGUGAAAGCCCUGGGCUCAACCCAGGAAGUGCAUUGGAUACUGGGAGACUUGAAUACGGGAGAGGGUAGUGGAAUUCCUAGUGUAGGAGUGAAAUCCGUAGAUAUUAGGAGGAACACCGGUGGCGAAGGCGGCAUCCUGGACCGACAUUGACGCUGAGGAGCGAAAGCUAGGGGAGCAAACGGG